rnacentral:rRNA from 1 species
GCAGUUAGCACAUCUGCUUUAUAUGCAGAAGGUCCUGGGUUUGUGCCCAGCCUGAUGUCUGAUCUUGGAAGCUAAGCAGGGUCAGGUCUGGUUAGUACUUGGAUGGGAGAGCACUUAGGAAGGCCAGGUGCUGUAGGCA